UACAGAGGUCCCAAGCGUUACUGAGAAUCACUGGGUUUAAAGGGUGCGUAGGUGGUCCGUUAAGUCAGUUGUGAAAUCCCCGGGCUCAACUCGGGAACUGCUUCUGAUACUGGCGGACUUGAGGCCAGUAGGGGUCACUAGAACUGACGGUGGAGCGGUGAAAUGCGUAGAUAUCGUCAGGAAUGCCGGUGGUGAAGCCGGGUGACUGGGCUGGUUCUGACACUGAGGCACGAAAGCGUGGGGAGCGAACGGG
rnacentral:rRNA from 1 species